GACGAACGCUGGCGGCGUGCUUAACACAUGCAAGUCGAACGGGCCUUGUCCCCUUUUUUUUUGGGGGUGGGGUUAGUGGCGAACGGGUGAGUAACACGUGAGUAACCUGCCCCUCACUUCUGGAUAACCGCUUGAAAGGGUGGCUAAUACGGGGUGUUCUGGCCUGCUCGCAUGGGUGGGUUUGGAAAGAUUCGACCGGUUUUGGUUGUUUUGGUGGGGGAUGGGCUCGCGGCCUAUCAGCUUGUUGGUGGGGUGAUGGCCUGCCAAGGCUUUGACGGGUAGCCGGCCUGAGAGGGUGGGCGGUCACACUGGGACUGAGACACGGCCCAGACUCCUACGGGCGGCAGCAGUGGGGAAUAUUGCACAAUGGGCGCACGCCUGAUGCAGCGACGCCGCGUGAGGGAUGGAGGCCUUCGGGUUGUGAACCUCUUUCGCCAGUGAAGAAGGUCCUGCUCUUUGUGGUGGGGUUGACGGUAGCUGGGUUAAUGAAGCGCCGGCUAACUACGUG
rnacentral:rRNA from 1 species